CCGCCCAGGCCGGGUGCGCAGGCUCGGCGGGGCUCUGUGUGUGUGUGGUACGGGGGAAAAGCGCCCCAUAUCCGCCCCCCCGCCCCCCCAGGCAGGCAGACGGGCACAGCUCAGCGGUAGCGGGUUUAUUCUCCUCAGGGCAGAGCGAUUUUCGUGAGAGGGAACGGGGCAGGCCCGCGGCGAGGGGCCGGGAUGGAGGGCGGCCGUCCCGGCCUCAGAUGGUGCAGUUGCUCUCUCCGAAGCGGCGGCACUUCAUCACCUUCAGUGACCAGAGCUUGAAGCCAGACCCAAGCCAUGUGCAUCUGGAGCUGCAGGCCGCCUCUCCUCCUGCCCUGCUUUGCUUGCCAGCUGAUUCGGUCAACGGAACCGUUUUUGUUCAGUAAACAGGGUGUUAAAAGGCUAAAGAGUGAUCAUUACCUGGUUACUGUGUACUGCUUCCCAUUGCCCAAACUUAUAUCAAACGGAGAGCAAAACCUGGAAAUGCUACAGACUACAGUCAGGACAGAAGAUCUCUGUUUACUCUCUGUGCCUGACUUUUGUAGUUAUUUAGGUGCUAGAUGAUGAAAAUCAUCGUCCAGACUGACAUCACAUGGAGACAGGUCUUGGGGCUCUAGCUGUGGUGAUGCUGAGCAAAUCUAAGAUGGGAUCCUGACAGACAAUAAGUAAUGUCAUUUAAAAUAACAAAGCCAAAAGUAAUCUUUCUGAAGAACAUUCUCCAGCUGUCAGUUGUCUGCGUGCUAGGUUAAUUUAAAUGUAAUAUAAGAGAGAAACAUCAGAGUAUAAGCUUCCAUCAGUACACAGACUUAUAUGAGUUGUUUUUAUAAAAUGUCUUGAGUCUUGGAAGUCAGGAUGCAGAACUCUGCAAAAUUUGCUUCACUUUAAAGUGUUUUCUGGGGAGAUAGGGCAAACAUCAGGUUUAACAGCAAGUUUAACCAAUGGAGUAUUCUUUGGUGCUGGGUUUGUAAAGACUGAGUCUAGACUGUUGUGAUCUUCCUGGCCUGUGCUGCUAUGCAGGUUAUGGCAGUGCUGUUAACAUCUGGUACAAGUUUUCUCAUGCUCCCAGUGAUGAAUUGUGUGCAGUGGAGUGUUGUGAUGUGACUAUGUUAAAGUAAGCAAAGUUCAAAGGAUGCCAAUGUUUUUUGGAGUGGAAGGUGGGGAGACUUCUCAUGGUCUUUGGAUCCUGUAGAAGACCCUGAGAGCUCAGUGCCCUGUGUUUAGGAGAUUGUUACUCCGUAAUCAUGCUACCUACUGCAACUUACCCUCAUCAGAGCUUGGAUCCCUUCUUCUAGGUCCUUUAGUUUUUCAAACACUCUGUCUGAGGUGCCAAAAACCAGAUUGUUUGUAAACACCUUGCUUAGGUAUUGCACUGGGGUCAGCCAGGACUGGAUGAGAACCAGUGAAAACCGAAGAAGCUCCAUAUCCUGAAAUUAAAAAAGGGGGUGAAAGGUGUGCAGGUGAGGUGUUCUGUAAUGUUACCUGUGUGUCUUGCUCCUUCUGAAACAGCCCAGAGGUGACCCAUGGGUGUGCCCCUGCUUCUGCACCUUUAGCAAAUGUUAAAGACUGAGGAGCAUCAGACAGACAUACAUCCUUUUCUGACAACAGUUACUCUCUUUGGGGUGGGGGUAUGAUUUAUAGUCUAACCCAAAGGUGUCUUUUCUUUUGCAUGCAGGCGUAAAUAGUAAAAGGAGAGAGGAGUGAUACCUCAGCAAGCACUGAAGUGCUCACAGAUGGAAACCCUCUGUUCCUUGAAAGAAUUCUGUGCUUGUCCAGGGGAGACAACUUACUGAUUUCUGCUGGGCAUCAUCCUUCCCUGUGGGAGCUGGGAUGGUUUCUGAGUAACAGAAUGCCUGGGAAUUCUUGUUGGUGUGUCUCUGGUCCUCCGGAAUAUAGCUGCGUUCCUGUGGAGACAUCCCAAAUACACCCAGAUCUGUUGGCCGUGUACUGGGAGAAGAGCGCUGACUCUUUCCUCAGGCUGUCCUGACAGGUUGCUCUUUUCAAGAAAGAAAUGUGAGACAUGAAGUGUGUCUCUGUACAGGACUGGCAGGUAGGAAGCUGGAAAUCACAUGUUGGUUGGCACAGUAGCUGCUGGACCUACAGGUCUUGCUUUCACUAAGCCAAAGUGCUGAGGUGAACACAGACCACGCGGACUGCAUUCUCCUGAGGGGCAGAUGACUCCCUUGAACAGCUCUGGCCAAAGCAGACACCUUGUUUGAGCUCCUGGCCAAAGCAGAAGCUGGAUAGUUUUAAGUCAGUGCCAUAGGUUACCGUCACAGGAAAGUUGCAAAAUGCCUGCCGCUCCCCACAGCUCUCAGGACUGGGUUUCUCUUUGAGGCAGCUGGCUGUAUGUGGUGGGUUUGGGUGUGGGCAGCUGUGGCCCUGAGGAGGAUCAGGGGUGGAGGCAGAGAGCUGUGAGGAGGAGACAGGCUGGUAGAGGCCGGUUCUAUCCCAUUAAGACUCCUUUUUCCUCCUCAGGAUCUGACAGGAGACACCAGUAGUUGAAAUGCAUCUGUUUCUAGAAAACUGGACUGGGUGGGAAGCUGUGAUAUGGUCCUGAAAACAUCAGGUUAAUGAGGAGAUGCCCGGAGGCUGUGACACUUACGAACUCUUUGUACGUCUCUGCGGCCAGGAGGUGGAGGUGCUGAGCCCUCAGCACAGCGUUGGCAAACAGGUUGGAAAGGGGCAUGGCUGGGAAGGUGGCAGCUUCUUGUGGCCACUGCAAUCCCAGGGUGAUCACAGUGAUGAAGAGAGGAGAAAACCACGACCCUGCAGCAAAGUGGAGAGGAGUGGUGUUAACUGUCCUUCAGUGAGGGUGGCACCUGCAUAUUACUUCCUGGCCUCUUCUGCCUGUGCUAACCCUAAAGAAUGUCUUGUUUGUGUUCAUGCACGAUCUUAGCCCUCCAGUGACACCCCAUCCCCUUUUGCUGGAUGUGCCCUCGAGGCUUGUGCUGCUCCCAAUGUUACAAACAAUGCUUUUCUGCCUUAAGAAUGAUUGUUGCUCCAUGAAAACUGCAGUGCAUCCCUGUGUUGUUCCUUAACACGCUCAUGUUUUUCAGUCAGUCUUGUCUUCAUGAAUGGAGUAUGAUGCAUGAGCGGACGGGAUGGGUGAAAAGUGAUUGCAUUACCUGUGUCGUAACUGAGAACUUCUGCUCUCUGGCACACACCUGUAGAAUCCAGUGAUCCCUGACAAGUCUAAAGGUUAUUAACGCCUAGCAUCUAACUCACACAAGUGGUCUCUGUAAGUACAGAUGGACACAAAGUUAAUCUCAAACAAGCACCCUUCAGUGGAAGAAUGCCCUGGAGCCUGUAGGACUUGGAUAUGGGCAUUAGACAUCAUCCUGAUCCCUGUCUUAAGCCUUGAAUGUGAGUUUUAAUAUCCCUGCCACUAUUUAUGUUAGUAAUAACUAUUCCUGCUCUGGCUUGCAUGUCUUUUCUUCUUGUUCUCCAGCCUCUCCUUGCCCCUUGCCUGUAGCAUUAAAUGCCCCUUGCAUUUGCAUUAGCAUAAUGAAUACCUGCGUCAAUCCAUGGUUAAAAGUCAUGCUGUUGGGAAAGCCAUUCUUUUUCAUUGAUUGUUAAGUUGCCACAUCUUAAUUUGGGGCAGGCACUGAGCAUAUAUAGGCAACAGUACCAUCCUAUCAUAAUAUUCCAUCACCCAAAGCACAUAAUCAGAAUCAUAGAAUCAUUCAGGUUGGAAGAGACCACUAAGACCAUCUAGUCCAACCUUUAACCUGAUACUGGCAAGUCCACCAUGAAAACAUACUACUAACUUCUACAUCUACAUGUUUCAUGAUGACCUCCAGGGACAGUGACUCAACCACUUCCCUGGGCAGCCUAUUCCAGUGCCACACAACCCUUUCAGUAAAGAAACUUCUUCUAAUAUCCAACCUAAACCUCCCCUGGCACAACUUGAGGCCAUUUCCCCUCAUCUUACCACUUAGUACCUGGGAGAAGAGCCUGAUCCCCACCUUGCUACAGCCUCCUUUAAGGUAAUUGUAGGGUGUGGUAAGGUCUCUCCUGAGCCACCUUUUCUCCAAGCUAAACAACCCCAGUGCCCACGGCUGCUCCUAAUAAGACUUGUUCUCUAGACCCUUCACCAGCUUUAUUGCCCUUCUUUGGACACAAUGCUGCCUGUAGCCGCAUUGGCAAUCCUCGUAAACUGAAAUAAAGAAGAGUACCUGGAGCCAUUUCUGCCUGGAGAGUUGCUCAGAUGUUGCUUGAAAGUGAAUGUUUCUUCCUUUCAUCUAGGCUGGUAAUGGCAACUGUUGAGACACCCCUUAUAUAGUAGGGGGUCUGUUUAAAAUGUAUAUAUGUGUUCAUGAUCACAACAACCUCUCUAUAUCUUCUCCAUGCAUAAAUGCACACGUGUUCGCAAUGGUGCUACCUAAUUGUAGUCAUUUAUACAUAGAUGGAAAGGUUGGGGAGGAUGUUUGCCUAGGGAUGAAAUUAGCACUGAAUGAUUUCUCCAUAUUCUGCUGUUUAUUGCAAAUAACGGUUUUAUCAUCAUGGAAGAGCCACCCCAAAUCAGAUCAGUGCUUUUACAUGGUGGAAUUUCCCCGCAUAGAUAGAAAGUGCUCCUAAUUUUCCUGCCUGCUCCAGGCAGGGUCUGGCCCACAGUUAACAGGGCUGACAAGCCAGACUGGGACACCUCUGACAUAAAGCAAAAGAGGUGGUUUCCCAUUUAUCGUUAGUGGGGAUAGAGCUGGGUGGAUGUUGCCAGGUGAACCACAUUUCUGCCACAUAACUUCUGUCAUGCUACCAAAAAUUUCAAAAAUUCAAAAGGGAUAUUUUGAACAAGUCGAUUUUUUUUAAAUAACAAUUUCUGUUCCUUGAGGUAACGGUUUGAUUCAAAUUUUCAGCCAAUGCAUUAUUUUACUUACAUUUGUUCUCAGGUGCUUUUAUUGUCUAAUGUAUUUUUUCCUCAUGCAACAGCUCAAGCAUUGAACUGCAGAAGUAAUUUGCAAAGCCCUACUUUGAGAGAGGAGGUACCAACCCUCUGUCGAAAAACAGCGUGGCAGUUCCCAGGCAGAGACAGAAUAAGGUCCCUGGAGUUGGCUGGUUUGUCUGGCACAGGUUUGGUGAAGAGCCGUCACAUGUAGGUGUGUUACAGGGUACCAGCCUGCCUGCUGCAAAUCCAAGUUCCAGAGCCCUGGGAGGUUUCUCACAUCCUCAGCUGGGCAAAGCUGUGAGAAGAUCUGGUCAUCAGCUGCUUUCUGCUCUUGCCUGAGACAGGAAUGAGAAAUAUCUCUGCAUUGAGCAGAGGGCUGGUGUGGAAAGGAGGGAGAAGAAAUGGGGGAGAACAAAGGUCACAGCACACCUAUCCCUGCUUUUGAGCAAGACAAGACAGAACCUGGGAUGGAGAGCUGUGUGUGGGGGGUGUGCUUAAAGGACUUUUCUUUCCCCUCAGGGCACUGGGUGCCUCAAGCCACCCUGUUUGUUCAGGGCCCUGUUUGGUCCCCGGUCAGGGGCAGUGCUCUGGCUCCCCGAGCCCCUGGGUUGGCCUGCCCCCCUGCUUUGGCUCCAGUUUCCACGAGGCAGCAUCAUCAGUGGAGCAAAGGGUGCGAGAGCUCGUUAAUAAACACACUGGGGAGAGCGUGAUCUGUUCCGAGAAGCCCCUGGGUGUUCACUCGCAUGGUGGUGUCACGGAGUAAAUGUCAGUCCCUAGAGAAAAGGGAACAGUGGGUCCUGCAGGUAUCAGGUAUCCGGUCACCCAAUAGCCAGCAACAUCUGGGUGUGUUUUUCUACUAGAGAUUGUGUUUAAAUAUGUCAAUAUUCGUCAGAGGUGAGCAGAGCAGCAGCCCCACCAGCCAGCACAGGCUCUGCUGCCUGCUCACAAUGAUGCUCUACCACUGCAGCUAGAUUAAUAUGGCACCUUGCACCAGACUGCUGCCCAUCACUUGCUACCCUGCUGCCCCUCCAGCCCUGUUAGCAAAAGCACGGUGCUAAACCAGCAAUUUUCAUCUUAGAGCCAAGCACAGAGAUGCCAGCAUGUUCCAGGACUCUGCCCCUGAGGUCUGUUUUCUCCCCACUCACAUAAUUUCUGUGCAUUAAAUGAGGCAGAAGCUUUGUGGAGAUGGCAGUGCAUGGCUCGGAUCCUGGGCUGGACAAACACACACCACUGGCACGAUUACAUUUGCAUAAGCAGCUUGCAAAUAUCAGCUUGGCAUUUUUCUAGCUUCCAAGUGCCCACAUGCGUGACCCAAAGUAGAACAUCAUAAAGCAGCAUGAGGCUCAGUAAUUUCCAAGUUCCUUUUCUUAUUUGAAAGAGAAAAAAACCUCCAUUCUUUUCAGGGUGGUCCCACGUCCACCCACCUUGCCCUGUGGACAAAUGAAACAACUUUCCUUGAAGGUAUGUGUAUGCCCUGGUUCCUCCUGGCCCCCCAGGAGGGGUUUUGUGCAGAGGUUCCCAGCCUGGGGACCUGCAAACGGUGAAUCCUGACUGAGGAGCCAGAUGCUGGCCCACAGCCCAGGCUCUGUAGCUCCGUCGGUAACGAGAUGGAUGGUAGAGGCUUUAAGUGAUGGUUGUACUACCUUUGCUAGCUCACUACCCUGAAAGUAAAUAGUCCUUUCAGUUUGAA